rnacentral:snRNA from 1 species
CUGACUUCGGCAGCAGGUAUACUAAAAUUAAAACAAUACAGAGAUCAGCAUGGCUCCUGAGCAAGGAUGACACGCAAAUUCAUGAAGCGUUCCAUAUUUUU